AAGGAUCAUUAUUGAAUGUACUUGCAAUAGGUUGAAGCUGACUUUUCGGAGUAUGUGCUCGCCUUUUGUAACUUACUACUUUUCCACUUGUGAACCUUUGUAGACUAUGAAUGAAAUAAACUCAUCUGAAAAUGAUGGUUAGAGAGGUUUGUUCUUACAGAGCAUCCUUUUGUUAGUAGUUCAUAGUCUAUGUUAUAUUUACCCUUGAUUGAAUGUUAAUGAAUGUCAUUUUACUGGUCUUUGACCUUUAAACUUAAUACAACUUUCAGCAACGGAUCUCUUGGCUCUCGCAUCGAUGAAGAGCGCAGCGAAAUGCGAUAAGUAAUGUGAAUUGCAGAAUUCAGUGAAUCAUCGAAUCUUUGAACGCACCUUGCGCUCCUUGGUAUUCCGAGGAGCAUGCCUGUUUGAGUGUCAUUAAAUUCUCAACCUUAUCAGUUUUUUUUAUUAAAUUGGUUCAAGGCUUGGAUUUUGGGAGUUGCAGGCUUCUCUUUUGAAGUCAGCUCUUCUUAAAUGUAUUAGUGGAGACUUGUAACCGUCGCCUUGGUGUGAUAAUUAUCUGCGCCUUGGUGUAUUGGUGACUAGUAAUGUCUUUGCUUAUAACAGUCCAUUAGAUUGGACAAUCACUUUAUGACUUUUGACCUCAAAUCAGGUAGGACUACCCGCUGAACUUAAGCAUAUCAAUAAGCGGAGGAAAAGAAACUAACCAGGAUUCCCCUAGUAACUGCGAGUGAAGCGGGAAGAGCUCAAAUUUAAAAUCUGGCAGUCUUUGAUUGUCCGAGUUGUAAUUUAGAGAAGUGUUACCCGCGCCGGACCGUGUACAAGUCUCCUGGAAGGGGGCAUCAUAGAGGGUGAGAAUCCCGUCUUUGACAUGGACUACCGGGGCUUUGUGGUAUGCUCUCAAAGAGUCGAGUUGUUUGGGAAUGCAGCUCUAAAUGGGUGGUAAAUUCCAUCUAAAGCUAAAUAUUGGCGAGAGACCGAUAGCGAACAAGUACCGUGAGGGAAAGAUGAAAAGAACUUUGGAAAGAGAGUUAAACAGUACGUGAAAUUGCUGAAAGGGAAACGCUUGAAGUCAGUCGCAUUAGCUGGGGAUCAACCUUUCUUUUGAUUGGUGUACUUCCUAGUUGAUGGGUCAACAUCAGUUUUGACUGUUGGAUAAAGGUUGGGGGAAUGUGGCAUCUUCGGAUGUGUUAUAGCCCUUGAUUGUAUACAACAGUUGGGACUGAGGAAUUCAGCACGCCGCAAGGCCGGGUUUUUAACCACGUACGUGCUUAGGAUGUUGACAUAAUGGCUUUAAUCGACC
rnacentral:rRNA from 1 species